CCUACGGGUGGCAGCAGUGGGGAAUAUUGGGCAAUGGGCGCAAGCCUGACGCAGCAACGCCGCGUGAAGGAAGAAGGCUUUCGGGUUGUAAACUUCUUUUGUCAGGGACGAAGCAAGUGACGGUACCUGACGAAGAAGCCACGGCUAACUACGUGCCAGCAGCCGCGGUAAUACGUAGGUGGCAAGCGUUAUCCGGAUUUACUGGGUGUAAAGGGCGCGUAGGCGGGACUGCAAGUCAGAUGUGAAACCCACGGGAUCAACCUGGGUACUGCUUUUGAAACUGUAGUUCUUGAGUACUGGAGGGGCAGACGGAAUUCCUAGUGUAGCGGUGAAAUGCGUAGAUAUUAGGAGGAACACCGGUGGCGAAGGCGGUCUGCUGGACAGCAACUGACGCUGAGGCGCGAAAGCGUGGGGAGCAAACAGGAUUAGAUACCCUUGUAGUC
rnacentral:rRNA from 1 species